rnacentral:rRNA from 1 species
CUUGCUCCUAGGCGUCGAGCGGCGGACGGGUGAGUAACACUUAGGAAUCUACCUAGUAGUGGGGGAUAGCUCGGGGAAACUCGAAUUAAUACCGCAUACGUCCUACGGGAGAAAGGGGGCAACUUGUUGCUCUCGCUAUUAGAUGAGCCUAAGUCGGAUUAGCUAGUUGGUGGGGUAAAGGCCUACCAAGGCGACGAUCUGUAGCUGGUCUGAGAGGAUGAUCAGCCACACCGGGACUGAGACACGGCCCGGACUCCUACGGGAGGCAGCAGUGGGGAAUAUUGGACAAUGGGGGCAACCCUGAUCCAGCCAUGCCGCGUGUGUGAAGAAGGCCUUUUGGUUGUAAAGCACUUUAAGCAGUGAAGAAGACCUAACGGUUAAUACCCGUUAGCGAUGACAUUAGCUGCAGAAUAAGCACCGGCUAACUCUGUGCCAGCAGCCGCGGUAAUACAGAGGGUGCAAGCGUUAAUCGGAAUUACUGGGCGUAAAGCGAGCGUAGGUGGCUUGAUAAGUCAGAUGUGAAAUCCCCGGGCUUAACCUGGGAACUGCAUCUGAUACUGUUAGGCUAGAAUAGGUGAGAGGAAGGUAGAAUUCCAGGUGUAGCGGUGAAAUGCGUAGAGAUCUGGAGGAAUACCGAUGGCGAAGGCAGCCUUCUGGCAUCAUAUUGACACUGAGGUUCGAAAGCGUGGGUAGCAAACAGGAUUAGAUACCCUGGUAGUCCACGCCGUAAACGAUGUCUACUAGUCGUUGGGUCCCUUGAGGACUUAGUGACGCAGCUAACGCAAUAAGUAGACCGCCUGGGGGAGUACGGCCGCAAGGUUAAAACUCAAAUGAAUUGACGGGGGCCCGCACAAGCGGUGGAGCAUGUGGGUUUAAUUCGAUGCAACGCGAAGAACCUUACCUGGUCUUGACAUAUCUAGAAUCCUGCAGAGAAUCCGGGAGUGCCUUCGGGAAUUAGAAUACAGGUGCUGCAUGGCUGUCGUCAGCUCGUGUCGUGAGAUGUUUGGGUUAAGUCCCGCAACGAGCGCAACCCUUGUCCUUAGUUACCAG